rnacentral:rRNA from 1 species
UCUCCGUUGGUGAACCAGCGGAGGGAUCAUUACAGAGUUUACAACUCCCAAACCCUUAUGUGAACAUACCAAGAUGUUGCUUCGGCGGACUCGCCCCGGCGUCCGGACGGCCUAGCGCCGCCCGCGGCCCGGACUCAGGCGGCCGCCGGAGACCACCAAACUCUUUUGUAUCAUGAGUAUCUUCUGAAUCCGCCGCAAGGCAAAACAAAUGAAUCAAAACUUUCAACAACGGAUCUCUUGGUUCUGGCAUCGAUGAAGAACGCAGCGAAAUGCGAUAAGUAAUGUGAAUUGCAGAAUUCAGUGAAUCAUCGAAUCUUUGAACGCACAUUGCGCCCGCCAGCAUUCUGGCGGGCAUGCCUGUUCGAGCGUCAUUUCAACCCUCGACUUCCCUUUGGGGAAAUCGGCGUUGGGGACCGGCAGCAUACCGCCGGCCCCGAAAUGGAGUGGCGGCCCGUCCGCGGCGACCUCUGCGUAGUAAUCCAACCUCGCACCGGAACCCCGACGUGGCCACGCCGUAAAACACCCCACUUUCUGAACGUUGACCUCGGAUCAGGUAGGAAUACCCGCUGAACUUAAGCAUAUCAAUAAGCGGAGGAAAAGAAACCAACAGGGAUUGCCCCAGUAACGGCGAGUGAAGCGGCAACAGCUCAAAUUUGAAAUCUGGCCUUCGGGUCCGAGUUGUAAUUUGUAGAGGAUACUUUUGGCGAGGUGCCUUCCGAGUUCCCUGGAACGGGACGCCAUAGAGGGUGAGAGCCCCGUCUGGUCGGAUACCAAGCCUCUGUAAAGUUCCUUCGACGAGUCGAGUAGUUUGGGAAUGCUGCUCAAAAUGGGAGGUAUAUGUCUUCUAAAGCUAAAUAUUGGCCAGAGACCGAUAGCGCACAAGUAGAGUGAUCGAAAGAUGAAAAGCACUUUGAAAAGAGGGUUAAAAAGUACGUGAAAUUGUUGAAAGGGAAGCGCCUAUGACCAGACUUGGGCCCGGUGAAUCAUCCAGCGUUCUCGCUGGUGCACUUUGCCGGGCACAGGCCAGCAUCAGUUUGGCGCGGGGGAUAAAGGCUUUGGGAAUGUGGCUCCCUCGGGAGUGUUAUAGCCCAUUGUGUAAUACCCUGCGCCGGACUGAGGUACGCGCAUUGCAAGGAUGCUGGCGUAA